rnacentral:rRNA from 1 species
GGGUGCCCCGUAAGGGAACCCGGACACAGGUGCUGCAUGGCUGUCGUCAGCUCGUGCCGUGAGGUGUUGGGUUAAGUCCCGCAACGAGCGCAACCCUCAUCCUUAGUUGCCAGCAUUUAAGGUGGGCACUCUAAGGAAACUGCCGCAGUUAAUGCGGAGGAAGGUGGGGAUGACGUCAAGUCCUCAUGGCCCUUAUGUCCAGGGCUACACACGUGCUACAAUGGGUGGAACAAAGGGUUGUGAACCCGUAAGGGGGAACUAAUCCCAGAAAAGCACUCUCAGUUCGGAUUGGAGUCUGCAACUCGACUUCAUGAAGGCGGAAUCGCUAGUAAUCGCGGGUCAGCAGACCGCGGUGAAUACGUUCCCGGGUUU